rnacentral:rRNA from 1 species
UACGUAGGGUGCAAGCGUUGUCCGGAAUUAUUGGGCGUAAAGAGCUCGUAGGCGGUUUGUCGCGUCGAAUGUGAAAACCCGGGGCUCAACCCCGGGCCUGCAUUCGAUACGGGCAGACUAGAGUUCGGUAGGGGAGUCUGGAAUUCCUGGUGUAGCGGUGAAAUGCGCAGAUAUCAGGAAGAACACCAACGGCGAAGGCAGCUCGCUGGGACGGUACUGACGCUGAGACGCGAAAGCGUGGGGAGCGAACAGG